CUCUCUGAUUCAGCGGCGGACGGGUGAGUAAUGCCUAGGAAUCUGCCUGGUAGUGGGGGACAACGUCUCGAAAGGGACGCUAAUACCGCAUACGUCCUACGGGAGAAAGCAGGGGACCUUCGGGCCUUGCGCUAUCAGAUGAGCCUAGGUCGGAUUAGCUAGUUGGUGAGGUAAUGGCUCACCAAGGCGACGAUCCGUAACUGGUCUGAGAGGAUGAUCAGUCACACUGGAACUGAGACACGGUCCAGACUCCUACGGGAGGCAGCAGUGGGGAAUAUUGGACAAUGGGCGAAAGCCUGAUCCAGCCAUGCCGCGUGUGUGAAGAAGGUCUUCGGAUUGUAAAGCACUUUAAGUUGGGAGGAAGGGUUGUAGAUUAAUACUCUGCAAUUUUGACGUUACCGACAGAAUAAGCACCGGCUAACUCUGUGCCAGCAGCCGCGGUAAUACAGAGGGUGCAAGCGUUAAUCGGAAUUACUGGGCGUAAAGCGCGCGUAGGUGGUUUGUUAAGUUGGAUGUGAAAGCCCCGGGCUCAACCUGGGAACUGCAUUCAAAACUGACAAGCUAGAGUAUGGUAGAGGGUGGUGGAAUUUCCUGUGUAGCG
rnacentral:rRNA from 1 species